AUUGAACGCUGGCGGCAGGCCUAACACAUGCAAGUCGAACGGGUGGCGGACGGGUGGGUAAUGGCUGGGAAACUGCCUGAUGGAGGGGGAUAACUACUGGAAACGAUAGCUAAUACCGCAUACCAACGGAUGUGCCCAAAUGGGAUUAGCUAGUAGGUGGGGUACAGGCACACCUAGGCGACGAGCCCUAGCUGGGCUGAGAGGAGGACCAGGCACACUGGAACGUAGACACGGUCCAGACUCCUACGGGAGGCAGCAGUGGGGAAUAUUGCACAAUGGGCGCAAGCCUGAUGCAGCCAUGCCGCGUGUAUGAAGAAGGCCUUCGGGUUGUAAAGUACUUUCAGCUGGGAGGCGUUACCCGCAGAAGAAGCACCGGCUAACUCCGUGCCAGCAGCCGCGGUAAUUC
rnacentral:rRNA from 1 species